CAAAUCCUAACAAUCACUAGUACCAUCAGUACUGUAUUUGGCUACCUAUAUUCAAAAUUUAAGAAACUAAUACUUGUCAGCCAGAGGACCUGCCAUUCAUCAAGAUGGACCAUGAACUAGACAGAAGAAAAAGGACUGUCCACUUGGUGUUGUGUCAGUCCUGUUUGUUUUGUGGCGGCAUACAGAGGAAUGUUCUCACACUGGAUUUUGAUGGAGGAGAGCCUGGAUGUAGUCAGAGUCUCUGGAAGCUGAGCUCACUGCUUUUCUGCUUCUCUGCUGAUGUUUGAUAACGAAAAUGCAGGGAAGAAAUCCAAGGAGCCCCUCUCUCUCCUAUUGCCUAGU